UGGGGAAUAUUGCACAAUGGAGGGAACUCUGAUGCAGCGACGCCGCGUGAACGAAGAAGGCUUUCGAGUCGUAAAGUUCUUUUAUAUGGGAAGAUAAUGACGGUACCAUAAGAAAAAGCCCCGGCUAACUACGUGCCAGCAGCCGCGGUAAUACGUAGGGGGCUAGCGUUGUCCGGAAUCACUGGGCGUAAAGGGUUCGCAGGCGGAAAUGCAAGUCAGGUGUAAAAGGCAGUAGCUUAACUACUGUAAGCAUUUGAAACUGCAUAUCUUGGGAAGAGUAGAGGUAAGUGGAAUUUUUAGUGUAGCGGUGAAAUGCGUAGAUAUUAAAAAGAAUACCGGUGGCGAAGGCGGCUUACUGGGCUCAUUCUGACGCUGAGGAACGAAAGCGUGGGUAGCAAACAGG
rnacentral:rRNA from 1 species